UAGUCCACGCCGUAAACGAUGAGAACUAGAUGUUGGGGGAAUUUGUCCUUCGGUGUCGCAGCUAACGCGUUAAGUUCUCCGCCUGGGGAGUACGCCGGCAACGGUAAAACUCAAAGGAAUUGACGGGGACCCGCACAAGCGGUGGAGCAUGUGGUUUAAUUCGAUGCAACGCGAAGAACCUUACCUGCCCUUGACAUUGACAGAAUCCUCUAGAGAUAGAGGAGUGCUUCGGCCUGGAAAACAGGUGCUGCAUGGCUGUCGUCAGCUCGUGUCGUGAGAUGUUGGGUUAAGUCCCGCAACGAGCGCAACCCUUGUCCUUAGUUGCCAGCACGUAAUGGUGGGAACUCUAGGGAGACUGCCGGUGACAAACCGGNGGAAAGGUGGGGGACGACGGUCAAGUCAUCAUGGCCCUUAUGGGCAGGGCUACACACGUGCUACAAUGGCGGAUACAGAGGGUUGCCAACCAGCAAUGGUNCGGCUAAUCCCCUUAAAAGCCCGUCGUAGUCCGGAUUGGAGUCUGCAA
rnacentral:rRNA from 1 species